GUGGGGAAUAUUGGGCAAUGGGCGAAAGCCUGACCCAGCAACGCCGCGUGAAGGAAGAAGGUUUUCGGAUCGUAAACUUCUAUCCUUGGUGAAGAUAAUGACGGUAGCCAAGAAGGAAGCCCCGGCUAACUACGUGCCAGCAGCCGCGGUAAUACGUAGGGGGCAAGCGUUGUCCGGAAUGAUUGGGCGUAAAGGGCACGUAGGCGGCCCGGUAAGUCUGAAGUGAAAGUCCUGCUUUUAAGGUGGGAAUUGCUUUGGAUACUGUCGGGCUUGAGUGCAGGAGAGGUAAGCGGAAUUCCCGGUGUAGCGGUGAAAUGCGUAGAGAUCGGGAGGAACACCAGUGGCGAAGGCGGCUUACUGGACUGUAACUGACGCUGAGGCGCGAAAGUGUGGGGAGCAAACAGGAUUAGAAACCCGAGUAGUCC
rnacentral:rRNA from 1 species